rnacentral:rRNA from 1 species
UACGUAGGUCCCGAGCGUUGUCCGGAUUUAUUGGGCGUAAAGCGAGCGCAGGUGGUUUAUUAAGUCUGGUGUAAAAGGCGGUGGCUCAACCAUUGUAUGCAUUGGAAACUGGUAGACUCGAGUGCAGGAGAGGAGAGUGGAAUUCCAUGUGUAGCGGUGAAAUGCGUAGAUAUAUGGAGGAACACCGGUGGCGAAAGCGGCUCUCUGGCCUGUAACUGACACUGAGGCUCGAAAGCGUGGGGAGCAAACAGG